UACGUAGGGUGCAAGCGUUAAUCGGAAUUACUGGGCGUAAAGCGUGCGCAGGCGGUUCUAUAAGACAGAUGUGAAAUCCCCGGGCUCAACCUGGGAACUGCAUUUGUGACUGUAGAGCUGGAGUACGGCAGAGGGGGAUGGAAUUCCGCGUGUAGCAGUGAAAUGCGUAGAUAUGCGGAGGAACACCGAUGGCGAAGGCAAUCCCCUGGGCCUGUACUGACGCUCAUGCACGAAAGCUAGGGGAGCAAACGGG
rnacentral:rRNA from 1 species